GAGGGUGUAGUUCAGUGGUAGAGUGCAUGCCUGGCAUGCAUAAGGUCCUGGGUUCAAUCCCCAGUUCCUCCA
rnacentral:tRNA from 1 species